rnacentral:rRNA from 1 species
CUGAAUGGAAGGGCCAUCGCUCAACGGAUAAAAGGUACUCCGGGGAUAACAGGCUGAUACCGCCCAAGAGUUCAUAUCGACGGCGGUGUUUGGCACCUCGAUGUCGGCUCAUCACAUCCUGGGGCUGAAGUAGGUCCCAAGGGUAUGGCUGUUCGCCAUUUAAAGUGGUACGCGAGCUGGGUUUAGAACGUCGUGAGACAGUUCGGUCCCUAUCUGCCGUGGGCGCUGGAGAACUGAGGGGGGCUGCUCCUAGUACGAGAGGACCGGAGUGGACGCAUCACUGGUGUUCGGGUUGUCAUGCCAAUGGCACUGCCCGGUAGCUAAAUGCGGAAGAGAUAAGUGCUGAAAGCAUCUAAGCACGAAACUUGCCCCGAGAUGAGUUCUCCCUGAGACUUAGAGUCUCCUGAAGGAACGUUGAAGACGACGACGUUGAUAGGCCGGGUGUGUAAGCGCAGCGAUGCGUUGAGCUAACCGGUACUAAUGAACCGUGAGGCUUAACCUUACAACGCCGAAG